rnacentral:rRNA from 1 species
GACGAACGCUGGCGGCGUGCUUAACACAUGCAAGUCGAACGGAAAGGCCCUGCUUGCAGGGUACUCGAGUGGCGAACGGGUGAGUAACACGUGGGUGAUCUGCCCUGCACUUCGGGAUAAGCCUGGGAAACUGGGUCCAAUACCGGAUAGGAGCCAUUUUUAGUGUGAUGGUUGGAAAGUUUUUUCGGCGUAGGAUGAGCUCGCGGCCUAUCAGCUUGUUGGUGGGGUAAUGGCCUACCAAGGCGGCGACGGGUAGCCGGCCUGAGAGGGUGGACGGCCACAUUGGGACUGAGAUACGGCCCAGACUCCUACGGGAGGCAGCAGUGGGGAAUAUUGCACAAUGGGCGCAAGCCUGAUGCAGCGACGCCGCGUGGGGGAUGACAGCCUUCGGGUUGUAAACUCCUUUCGCUAGGGACGAAGCUUUUUGUGACGGUACCUAGAUAAGAAGCACCGGCUAACUACGUG